GCAGACACAUUCCAGCCAAUCAGCAGCAGACCCUCCCUCCCAGACCCUCCCACCUCCUGGACAGUUCACUAAGAAUGCAGCUUCACAAUGAAUGUAAAAUGGAUGCUGUCCAGGAGGUGGGAGGGUCUUGGAGGGAGGGUCUGCUGCUGAUUGGCUGGAAUGUGUCUG